rnacentral:rRNA from 1 species
UUUAUGGAGAGUUUGAUCCUGGCUCAGAGUGAACGCUGGCGGCGUGCCUAAUACAUGCAAGUCGAACGAUGAAGCUUCUAGCUUGCUAGAGUGCUGAUUAGUGGCGCACGGGUGAGUAACGCAUAGGUUAUGUGCCUCUUAGUUUGGGAUAGCCAUUGGAAACGAUGAUUAAUACCAGAUACUCCCUACGGGGGAAAGAUUUAUCGCUAAGAGAUCAGCCUAUGUCCUAUCAGCUUGUUGGUAAGGUAAUGGCUUACCAAGGCUAUGACGGGUAUCCGGCCUGAGAGGGUGAACGGACACACUGGAACUGAGACACGGUCCAGACUCCUACGGGAGGCAGCAGUAGGGAAUAUUGCUCAAUGGGGGAAACCCUGAAGCAGCAACGCCGCGUGGAGGAUGAAGGUUUUAGGAUUGUAAACUCCUUUUGUUAGAGAAGAUAAUGACGGUAUCUAACGAAUAAGCACCGGCUAACUCCGUGCCAGCAGCCGCGGUAAUACGGAGGGUGCAAGCGUUACUCGGAAUCACUGGGCGUAAAGAGCGCGUAGGCGGGAUAGUCAGUCAGAUGUGAAAUCCUAUGGCUUAACCAUAGAACUGCAUUUGAAACUACUAUUCUAGAGUGUGGGAGAGGUAGGUGGAAUUCUUGGUGUAGGGGUAAAAUCCGUAGAGAUCAAGAGGAAUACUCAUUGCGAAGGCGACCUGCUGGAACAUUACUGACGCUGAUUGCGCGAAAGCGUGGGGAGCAAACAGGAUUAGAUACCCUGGUAGUCCACGCCCUAAACGAUGGAUGCUAGUUGUUGGAGGGCUUAGUCUCUCCAGUAAUGCAGCUAACGCAUUAAGCAUCCCGCCUGGGGAGUACGGUCGCAAGAUUAAAACUCAAAGGAAUAGACGGGGACCCGCACAAGCGGUGGAGCAUGUGGUUUAAUUCGAAGAUACACGAAGAACCUUACCUAGGCUUGACAUUGAGAGAAUCCGCUAGAAAUAGUGGAGUGUCUAGCUUGCUAGACCUUGAAAACAGGUGCUGCACGGCUGUCGUCAGCUCGUGUCGUGAGAUGUUGGGUUAAGUCCCGCAACGAGCGCAACCCCCUUUCUUAGUUGCUAACAGGUCAUGCUGAGAACUCUAAGGAUACUGCCUCCGUAAGGAGGAGGAAGGUGGGGACGACGUCAAGUCAUCAUGGCCCUUACGCCUAGGGCUACACACGUGCUACAAUGGGGUGCACAAAGAGAAGCAAUACUGCGAAGUGGAGCCAAUCUUCAAAACACCUCUCAGUUCGGAUUGUAGGCUGCAACUCGCCUGCAUGAAGCUGGAAUCGCUAGUAAUCGCAAAUCAGCCAUGUUGCGGUGAAUACGUUCCCGGGUCUUGUACUCACCGCCCGUCACACCAUGGGAGUUGUGUUUGCCUUAAGUCAGGAUGCUAAAUUGGCUACUGCCCACGGCACACACAGCGACUGGGGUGAAGUCGUAACAAGGUAACCGUAGGUGAACCUGCGGUUGGAUCACCUCCUUUCUAGA